rfam:Felis catus isolate Cinnamon breed Abyssinian chromosome F2, whole genome shotgun sequence.
UCCUGGGUGGCUCAGUCGGUUGAGCGUCUGACUUCGGCUCAGGUCAUGAUUUCACGGUCCGUGGGUUCGAACCCCGCGUCGGGCU